UUUCCGUAGGUGAACCUGCGGAAGGAUCAUUAGUAAGAAUCAUGCGCUCUCCUCUCUUUGGAGUCGAGAUGCCAUCUCUUCACUACCCUGUGCACCGUGUCUUUUUUACUUUUGCGCUUUGCAAGUUAUUGUAUGUCAACUACAAAAUGAAAGGCACAAAAUUCAGCAGUGGAUCUCUUGGCUCUCGCAUCGAUGAAGAACGCAGC
rnacentral:misc_RNA from 1 species